UGUGGCCAGUCCAGAUUGAGAUGUGCUGUGAGUGCAAAAUACACGCUGCAUCCUGAAGACUGAAGGCAAAAAUAAGAAGGUGUGAGUGCUCUGAAGUUAACGGCAAGCACUGGACUAGGAGAAAGGACAUUAGGACUGUGCCCCAGCCCCGCUGCCACCUGGUGUGUGUGAUCUAGAGCAGGGGCCCCCAACCUAUGGUAACUUGGGUGACUCCAGUGAAUCUGGACCUUUUGGAGAUUGCUUUCUCUGCCUGCUGGAACCCCAAUGUGGCCAGUGACACCGACCAGAUCCUCCUAUGGCCCAGGGAGGAGGCUCUUGGGUUCCAUGGCAUCCCCUGGACCUUCACUGCUCUCCGCUGUGAGGAGCUGGACUAGCCUGCUCCCUGAACUCAUGAGCACUGUCAUGGGAUGGCCCCAUCUCACUUUCUGGGGUGUUGUGCUAGCACCCAUUGCUGGAGCCCAUGAUCCUUGCCAGCUGCCACUUGGUUUCUGCCACUCUGCUGCCACCAUUCAGAAUGGUCUCAGGUUCCUCUACCUACUAUUAAUAUUUUCUGCUCUAUCUCCAUGCCUUGUUGUGGGUGCUUCUCCUGGACUCGGCAUGCCUGGCGAAUGGUGCCUCUAGCCCAGACACUUCCUGUUGCCUCCAUACUUCUGUAUGAUUCAAAAACUCCCAACUUGCAGCUUGUGCCCUGAUACAUUGGUGGGGAAGGUGGUGGAGGUAGUAAUGGUAGUGGCAGGGAAGAACUCUGGUACCUGAUUUGUCUGUUCUCUCUCUAUCCCCCUUCUCCUAUCCACAGAUCAUGAGGAUAGAAGGGACAGACUUUCCUGUCAUCUUCUAAAAUGUAGUCAGGCCUAGCUCUUGAUACACACUCAGUCAAAGGAAAGUCUUUAGAAAGCUCUUUCUCUCUUAACAAUGACUAGCUUUCCAUCUGAGACUCAAACAUUGCUUCAGUGGACAGGAAGCUCCAGAACAAGAAUUAUAGGUUAUGAAAAUUUAUCUAAAAAUAAUUCUGAAAAAAUGUUAACCCCAUUGCACAAACAUGUUAGCUCAAUAGGAAAGAUUAACUAUGCUGAUAUUAAAUUCCAAAAGGAAUGUAUUCUGCGUGUCCUUACAUAUGAAAUAUUGAACAACAUGAUAAACACUAUCUUCAAUACUUAUUUGACAAAACUUCUUCCAAUAGCUAUCUGUUAUUAAUACAUAAAUCCUCAAUAAAAGCAGGCAAGAACAUUAGGCAUUUCUCUAAAGGGGGCUAAUCUUGGGUGAGUCCAGAUAUGCUGUAUUUGGUAUUCUUACACCUGGAUGCAGCUUAGACACCCCAGAGAAAAUAUAGCAUAGCAUGCAUCACUUUUUUCAGGCAGUGGUUGGAUGUGGGAGCAAAGGCAUUUUUCAUCUCUCCCACCCUGAAGGAGAUCAGGAAGAGUUUCAAGAAAAAGGGGAAGGCAUGUGGGCACAGCCAACCUCUCAGCCAUCACAGUUUUCUUGGAAGAUUAGUCAUGAUUCAAAAUGUGAACCAGAAAUGAUUUGAGAGUUUGGGAAGGAACUGAGUUUUGAGAGGAAAUGACUCAACAAGUUGGAGAAGAGAUCAAACUGCAGGAUCUUCUACAUUCAGGCUGAAGAUAUACAACUAUCAAAGGUCUGGAUAAGAAUUAUCACUCUUAGUCUGUAUCAGAAGAAAGAUUCUAGAAGGAUGUGCAUAGCUGCCUUAAUCAGAAAGAAGAUGAUCAUGAGGAAAAUCAACAUCUUUGCAUUGGAAGGGACUCAAGAGAUCAUCUUGUCCAAAAAAAUUGUAAGGGUUAAGGUUGAGAAAAAGGAGACAAAACUUGAAAUAUGUACAGAUAAUAUUAUCGUGUGAAUAGACACUCCAAGAGUCUACAAAUAUUAUUAGACCAAGUAAAAAAGUGUAGCAAGAUUUCUGGGUAUAAAAUCAACAUGCAAAAACUGAGUUUAUUUCAAUAUAUAUGCAAUAAGCAUUGAAAAAAUGUGAUCAUUUAAAUUUGCAAUAAAAAUGAAGUACUAACAAAUAAGUCUAACAAAAUGUAUGCUAGACUCGUAUAAAAAUAUUAAACUUUAUGGAGAGAUAUUAAAGGAUGUUCUAAUAAAUGCAGAGGUAUACUAUAUUCAUGGAUAAAUGAGUCUAUGUUGUAAAGAUGUCAGUUUUUCCAAAUUUAUAUAUAGAUACAAUGUAUCACAAUCAAAAUCUCAACACAUUUUUGCAUGUAGAAUUUGGUAAACUUGAAAAUUCAUAUGAAAGAGCAAUAAUAAUGUGGAGAACAAAGUGAAGGGAUUGUCCUGCCAAGUAUCAUGACUUAUUGUAAGGUUUUAGUAAUUAUGAUAGUGUUCCUUUGGCAUAAGCAUAGAGAAAUAGAUCAGUGAAGCAGAAAAGAGAGCCCAUGAACAGACCCACAUGUAUAUGGAAACUUGAUAUAUGAGAGAGUGAGAUUACAGAGGAGUGGGAAAGAGAUUUUAAAAAAAUUGUGCUUAAAAAAAGGGCUAUGGGGGGAAAAUAAUUGAAUAUCUACUUUAUAACAUAUACAAAAAUAAUUUUAAUUUGGAAUAAAGACAUAAAUGUGAAAUGUAAAACUACAAACCUUAAAAAAAAGGAGAGAGGCAAAUACCUUCAUGGCCUCAGAGCAAGGAGUUCUUAAAUGAGCUAUAAAAAUAAAGAAAUAGGUCCAUGAAGUAGACUGACAUUAAAAUUAACCACUUCUGUUUAUCUUACAUUAAUAUAAAAGUUGGUGAUAUUGAAUUUUAAUAUUUAGAUGUCAUACUGAUAUUGUAGUUAUGUUACAUAAAGAGAUAGACUAUCUUUUAGAAAUAAAUUCUCAAAAUUUUAUGAUGAAAUAAUAGUGUUUAAGAUUUGCUUCAAAAUAAUACUGGAGGAGCAGAAAUUGAAAGGGUAUAGAUGAACCAAGAUUGGCCAUCAAAUGACAAUUGUUGAAGCUGAGUGGUAGGUACAAAGAGGUUCAUUAUAUUAUUCUAUCUAUUUUUGUAUAUGUUUGAAAUUUCCAUCAUAAAUUAUUUUUGAGAGAGGGAGAGAUUGAGAAGGGACCAUAAAAAGAUGAAAACAAACCACAAACUGGAACAACACAUAUAACCAACUAAUAUCCAGAACAUAAAACCUAAAAAGUCAAGAAAAAAACAAAAGACAACCCAAUUUUUUACAUAGGCAACAGACUCGAACAGAUAAUCUGAAAAGAGGAAAUUCAAGUGGCUAAUAAACAAACAAACAAAAAAUGCUCAACUUCAUUAAUAAUCAGGGGAGUAAAAAUUUAAACCACAAUAUGACACCAUUACAUACACACCUGAUUGGAAAAAUUAAGUCUGUAAUACUGAGAGAUGACAAGAAUGUGGAUGCCUGUGGGAGUGUAAAUUGGUACAGCCAAUCUGGAAAACAGCCGGACUAGGUCUAGCCAUACUGAAGAGCAUGCCAUCCAGCAAUUUCAUUCCUAGAUAAAUACCCUAGAGCAACACUUGCACGUGUGCCCCAGGAGACAAGAAAGCUUAUAGCAACAUUAUCAGUAAGGGCCAAACAUUGGAAACAACUCAAAUGUCCAUCAACAGUAAGAUGCAUAAGCUGUGAGUUUGUAUGGUACAUGAAAUCUCAGCAAUGAAAGUCUACACAAUGAACCUGUAGCUUUAUGCAGGAUGAAUCUUACUAUGUCGAGCAAAUGAAGCAAAUUAUGAAAGAAUGCACACAUUAUGAUACUUAUUUCCAAGUUUAAAAAUAGACUAGUCAGUUAAACUAUAUGAAGCUAUAUAUAUGAAGUUGCAGAUAUUCAACUAUUUUUGUCUUACAAAUGGCGAUUUCUUAUCAUUCAACCUAAUACUGUUUAGGAUACAUACAUUGAUGGUAAAACUAUAACGGAAAACAAGGUAGUGAUUAACAGACAAGUCAGGAUAGUGUUACCUCUGAGGAGGAGGAGGGGAGAUUUGAUUGGGGGAGGAUGCAGGAUGAAGAGUGGGCGGGGAACUUCACAGGUACUAGUCUAUUUCUUGAUCUCACAGCUGGUUACAAAAGUAUUUCUUUUAUAGUUCUUUUUUAAACUAUGCAUAUGUUUUAUGAAUUUAAAACAUAUUU